rnacentral:rRNA from 1 species
GGACCUGACUGCUAUCGGAUUGAUACUAAGCCAUGCGAGUCAUUGUAGCAAUACAAGGCAGACGGCUCAGUAACGCGUAGUCAACCUACCCUAUGGACGGGGAUAACCUCGGGAAACUGAGAAUAAUACCAGAUAGAACAUUAUACCUGGAAUGGUUUAUGUUUCAAAUAAUUUAUUGCCGUAGGAUGGGACUGCGGCCUAUCAGUUUGUUGGUGAGGUAAUGGCCCACCAAGACUAUUACAGGUACGGGCUCUGAGAGGAGUAGCCCGGAGAUGGGUACUGAGACACGGACCCAGGCCCUAUGGGGCGCAGCAGGCGAGAAAACUUUGCAAUGUGCGAAAGCACGACAAGGUUAAUCCGAGUGGUUUCUGCUAAAGGAACCUUUUGUUAGUCAUAGAACCACUAAUGAAUAAGGGGUGGGCAAGUUCUGGUGUCAGCCGCCGCGGUAAAACCAGCACCUCAAGUGGUCAGGAUGAUUAUUGGGCCUAAAGCAUCCGUAGCCGGCUUUGUUAGUUUUCGGUUAAAUCCAUACGCUCAACGUAUGGGCUGCCGGGAAUACUGCAAGGCUAGGGAGUGGGAGAGGUAGACGGUACUCGGUAGGAAGGGGUAAAAUCCUUUGAUCUAUUGAUGACCACCUGUGGCGAAGGCGGUCUACCAGAACACGUCCGACGGUGAGGGAUGAAAGCUGGGGGAGCAAACCGGAUUAGAUACCGGGUAGUCCCAGCUGUAAACUAUGCAAACUCGGUGAUGCAUUGGCUUGAUGCCAAUGCAGUGCCGCAGGGAAGCCGUUAAGUUUUGCCGCCUGGGAAGUACGUACGCAAGUAUGAAA